rnacentral:rRNA from 1 species
AAUAGAUACCCCGGUAGUCCACGCUGUAAACGAUGGGCACUAGGUGUGGGGGUGUCGACUCCCUCCGUGCCGAAGCUAACGCAUUAAGUUCCCCGCCUGGGGAGUACGGCCGCAAGGCUAAAACUCAAAGGAAUUGACGGGGGCCCGCACAAGCGGCGGAGCAUGCGGAUUAAUUCGAUGCAACGCGAAGAACCUUACCAAGGCUUGACAUACACCGGAAACAUCCAGAGAUGGGUGCCCCGCAAGGUCGGUGUACAGGUGGUGCAUGGUUGUCGUCAGCUCGUGUCGUGAGAUGUUGGGUUAAGUCCCGCAACGAGCGCAACCCUCGUUCUAUGUUGCCAGCGCGUAAAGGCGGGGACUCAUAGGAGACUGCCGGGGUCAACUCGGAGGAAGGUGGGGAUGACGUCAAAUCAUCAUGCCCCUUAUGUCUUGGGCUUCACGCAUGCUACAAUGGCCGGUACAAAGGGCUGCGAUACCGCAAGGUGGAGCGAAUCCAAAAACCGGUCUCAGUUCGGAUUGGGGUCUGCAACUCGACCCA